GCUUUCCAGGUCAAUACAUACAGUUCUAUCUUAUAGUUCACCUACACCAACAUAUUUAGCUCAAAUGUAUCUGUAAACCCAAUACUCAAUUUUCACCUCAAUGACAAUCCCUUCAAAAUAUAUUAUACUCCACCCUCUCUAAUUUCACCAUAUUCACUCUCUUACUCUACCAAAGCCUAGAUAUCUAAGGACAGUGUUUCAUUAAUUGGUUACAACAUAAACCUAACAAUUCAAUUCUAUGUGCUAUUUUGGUACCUGUCCAAGCAAGUUACUAAGUACAUUAUUCUAGUGGAGUCAGCCCUGGAGAGAGAAGACAGAAUGUACAUAAUCUAUGAAUAAAUUCCAAUCUUCAAUCUUGUACUUGGUAGCAGAUGAAGUCUCUAUUUCUCUAUAGCACCACUACAGUUUUCUAGGAGUUUUGGCUGUCCCUUUAUGAUGUCCCCUUUGGCUUUUUAUGCCUACUGGCAGAAAUCUGGAUAACUACUCUUUCCUUCUCUAAAAUCAGGCAUAAAAGAUUUGAGAGAAUGUAAGGAAAUUCCAUUAUGUUUGUAUCCAGUAGACAUACAUUCUUAUUCAGUACGAGGUGCAAAACAUACUUUUUACUCAUCCCAUCUUUGCUCACUAAUCUGAUUUGAAAAGCAUCCUCAAACACUUCUUUUAAUUCAUGUGGAGUGACUUUGUCAGGCAGGUUCUUGAUCAAAAGUGUUUUGGCAUUUUGAUCUACAUAAAAACAAAAGAAUAUUUUUGGUGAGUUUAGAUUUAGUAAGCAUCAAAAGUCCCCUAAGAUAGAAAAAAUACCCCUCGGGUGGGGCGCAGUGGCUCAUGCCUAUAAUCCCAGCACCUUGGGAGGCCGAGGUGGGCAGAUCACGAGGUCAGGAGAUGAAGACCAUCCUGGCUAACACAGUGAAACCCCGUCUCUACUAAAAAUACAAAAAAUUAGCCGAGUGUGGUAGCACGUGCCUGUAAUCCCAGCUACUCGGGAGGCUGAGGCAGGAGAAUGGCUUGAACACGGGAGGUGGAGGUUGCAGUGAGCCAAGAUCGCACCACUGCACUCCAGCCUGGGCGACAGAACGAGACUCUGUUUUAAAAAAAAAAGAAAAAAGAAAAAAUACCCCUCAAAGAGUUGCAAAGUGGAAACAAUACAUCUUCAUUAGUUUAACAAAUAUUUGAACACUGGUAAAUGAGGGUCAUGUAGUUAUAAACUUCGAUAAGUGCCAGGAUGGACAAGUAAAAGGGGCAAUGAGGAAGUCUAGUAGAGAAGUUUACCCUAGUGUGGGGGUAAGGAAAGAGUUUUCUGAUCUGAGGAAGUGAUAUUUAAGCUAAAACUGGAUGGAUGGGUUUCAAGUAGCCAGAGACUGAGUCCUGGAAAGAAUGUUAUGACAGAGAAAGGUGAGCCAUGCAGCUCAAGCACAGGAGAGAGGGCAAGGUGCCACGGAGGCAGGUGGCCUGUCGGAAACUGAGGACUACUUGCAUCAAAUUAGAAAGAAUGUGAUAUUCCUGCCUGACCCAGAAUCUUCUAGACACAUGGAUACCUUUGAACAAAUUACCUUGUUUGCAUACCUUUGUUUCCUUUCCCUUUGGUUUCUUUAAUUUCAUACCCAAGGACUUUUGUAUCACUUAGUUCCAAGGCUUUUUCUUGAUCAGCAGAUUUAAAAUUCACAUAACCAAAUCUCCUACAGAGAUGUAGAAGAAAAGGGAAAAAGCACACACAGGUAAGAUGAAAAGCAUAUGCCUCUGGUUAGCUAAUCACGCUAGCUGUUGGAAUAGAAAUUAGCACUAAGUCACGAGCAGCUGCCUAAUUUACAGUUUAAAAGCAAGGCUCCACAAACUGGCAGUCAGUACUAUGAAGUAACUAUGGAGAACUAGUUCUUACCCAGGGGGCAAGCUUGACAAUCUCUAGAGACAUUUUUGGCUGUUACAAACAGGGAAUCAUCUAGUGUCUAAUGGGUAGAAUCCAGGGAGGUUGCUAAACAUCCCACAAUGAACUGGACAGCCACCAUAACAUAGAACUGCCCAGCCCAGACCCGGUGCAGUGGCUCAUGCCUGCAAUCCCAGCACUUUGCGAGGCCAAGGCAUGCAGACUGCUUGAGCUCAGGAGUUUGAGACCAGCCUGGUCAACAUGUAUUUCCUGUCUCUACAGAAAAUACACACACACAAAAAUUAGCCAGGCAUAGUGGUACAUGCCUGUGGUCCCAGCUAGUCAGGAGGCUGACGUGGGAAGAUGGCUUGAGCUGGAGGGCAGGGGUUGCAGUGAGCCGAGAUCGCACCAUUGCAUUCCAGCCUGGAUGAAAGAGCCAGAGGCCCUGUCUCCAAAAAAAAAUUGUCCAGCCCAGAAUGUCAGUAAUGCUGAAGUCAAGAGACCUCGUUCUAGAGCAAGGACUGAGAAUCAGUGCAGAGUUUGCCUAUUGACAUCUCUAUUGGUUUUCUGCUUAACAACUGACAAAAUUUAACCAAGAGCUAUAGAAAGUGUGGCUUGAAAUUACAAAUUUUGGCUGGGCGCAAUGGUUCACACCUGUAAUCCCGGCACUUUGGGAGGCUGAGGUGGGAGGAUUACUUGAGCUCAGGAGUUUGAGAUCAGCCUGGGCAACAUGGCGAAACCUCAUGUACAAAAAAGGCAUGGUGAUGUGUGCCUGUAGUCCCAGCUAUUCAGGAGGCUGAGGUGGGAGGAUUGUUUGAGUCCAGGUGGCAGAGGUUGCAGUGAGCCAUGAUCACACCACUGCACUCCAGCCUGGGCAACGGAGUGAGACCCUGUUUCAAAAAAAGUUAUUUAUUUAUGUAUUUAUUUUUGGCUCGGUGCAGGGGUUCACACCUGUAAUCCCAGCACUCUGGGAGGCUGAGACUGACGGAUCACUUGAGACCAGGAGUUCAGGACCAGUCUGCGCAACAUGGCAAAACCCCGUCUCUACUAAAAAUACAAAAAUUAGCUGGGCAUGGUGGCAGGCGCUUGUAAUCUUAGCUACUCGGGAGGCUGAGGCAGGAGAAUUGCUUGAACCUGGAAGGUAGAGACUACAGUAAGCUGAGAUCGCGCCACUGCACUCUAGCGACAGAGGGAGACUGUCUCAAAAAAAUUUUUUUUUGGAAUUUUUAAGAAACAGGCAGGCCACAGUGAGAUCGCACCACUGCACUCUAGCCUGAGCGACAGACGGAGACUGUCUCAAAAAAAAAAAUUUUUUUUUUUAAUUUUUAAGAAAUAGGCAGGGCACAGUGGCUCACACCUGUAAUCCCAGCACUUUGGGAAGCUGAGGUGGAAGGAUCACUUGAGCCCAGGAGUUUGAGACCAGCCUGAGUAAAAUAGCAAGACCCUGUCUCUAAGACUUGGAAGAUCUUGGGAUUAUUUUAAUAUUUUGGUUGGGAAAAUGGGGUAGCAAAGUUUAAUAUAACAGAUUUACUAAACAUGAGCCACUGAAGGAUUUUACAUAUUCAUUUUAAACUGCGAGUGACUGAGGUAAAAUCCCACCAAAGGGUGAAGAGCAGGUAACAAAAGGACCUGAGAAGACAGCAGCCUAUGAACCAUCAUGAAGUACUACAAAGCUACUGGAACAUCUAAAUUCUCCAGGAAUAGUAAGUGCUGGGCUGAUAUGCUCUUAAAAACCUUCUUAGUUGAUUGGUAUUUACCUGGACAAGCCAACUUUGACACCAACAACUUCAAGAUCAUUUUUAGCAAAAAAUUCACUGAGGCCAACUUUUAGUUCAGCAGCAGUUUUGCUGAAAUUCAGGUUUCCAACAAACAGUUGGAAUGCUACACGUGGUUCAGUUGCUACACAAAAAGGUAAAAAAAAAAAAAAAGAACUCAGUUCAGAAAAAGUAGCACUAAAAGAAAAUCCACUGAAAAUUGUAACACCAAGCUUCUGUAGCAAAUCCCAUUGUUGCUCAUUUGGGCUAAUGGAGACUAAGUUUUUGCCAAUGUGACAUUCUCCAUGCAUCUCCUGUGCCUUAAACCACGGCCAACACGCUACCUUCUAAUUUCUUUUCUUUUUCUUUUUCUUUUUUUUUUUUUGAGACAGAGUCUGGCACUGUUGCCCAGGCUGGAGUGCAGUGGCGCAAUCUCGGCUCACUGCAAGCUCCACCUCCUGGGUUCACGCCAUUCCCCUGCCUCAGCCUCCCGAGUAGCUGAGGCUACAGGCACCCGCCACCACGCCCGGCUAAUUUUUUGUACUUUUAGUAGAGACAGGGUUUCACUGUGUUAGCCAGGAUGGUCUUGAUCUCCUGACCUCGUGAUCCGCCCGCCUCGGCCUCCCAAAGUGCUGGAAUUACAGGCGUAAGCCACCGUGCCCGGCCUGUUACCUUCUAAUUUCUGCUUUUUGGCUCCAGGGGACUCUUUCUGAUUGGCCAUUUCCUUCUUUUGUUUAUCAGGUGUUUCUUUGAUAGGUUCUGUGGGUGAAAGCCAGAAUAUUGCAUUUGUAAUCAACUGCUUGGGCCACUAAUGAGUAAACUGGAAACUUUUAUGCUAUCCACAAACAUCAUUCCUAAGCUACACUUAAUUGUCACAAGACUCAUGAGUUGAGUCUGGUCAGGGUACUUUUAAAAGCAUUUCUACAUUAAUAAGAAAGUUAUUAAAAUUAAUAAAAUAAAUACAACAGCCCCUUCUGAUGGGCUUCACUUACAACUAGCAUUCCAUGAUGCCAGCCAUACUGCUUAACAGGGCUGAUUCAGAUCAUCCGACCUUCCCCCUCCUCCUCUUCCUCACUGCCUUUGCCACUGCCACUGUCGUCAUCCUGUUCAUCAUCUUCAGCCCUCAUGGGAAGGUCUUCUCUAACUUUCAUCCCAGCUUUAUCUUUUCCCCCACCCCUAGAAUCGCAAGGGAAGCCACCUAAUCAAUUAUUACAUAGACUAGUUAAGAAUGACAAAUUCUCCUCUCAGAGAACAAUUGUUCUUUUAUAUCUGGCUGUAUACAAAUAUCUAAGAAAAAAAUUCACAGCCACUUUAACUUUUAUUUUAUUUUGAGAUAGGGUCUCACUUAUGUUGCACAGGCUGGAAUGCAGUGGUGAGACUACGACUCACUGAGGCCUUGAUCUCCCUGGCUCAAUCCAUCCUCUCACCUCGGCCUACCUAGUAGCUGGGAUUACAGGUGUGUGCCACCAUACCUGGCUAAUUUAUUAUUUAUUUAUUUAUUUAUUUUUGAGGCGGAGUCUCACUCUGUUGCCAGGCUGGAGUGCAGUGGUGCAGUCUCGGCUCACUGCAACCUCCACCUCCUGGGUUCAAGCGAUUCUCCUGCCUCAGCCUCCCAAGUAGCUGGGAUUACAGGCACGCACCACCAUGCCCAGCUAAUUUUUGUAUUUUUAGUAGAGAGGGGUUUCGCCACAUUGGCCAGGCUGGUCUUGAACUCCUGACCUCGUGAUCCGCCCACCUCAGCCUCCCAGAGUGCUGGGAUUACAGGUGUGAGCCACCAUGCCCACAUACCUGGCUAAUUUAUUAAUUUCUUGUAGAGAUAGGGUCUCGCCCUGUUGCCCAAGCUGGUCUUGAACUCCUGGCCUCAAGCGAUUCUCCUGCUUCAGCCUCCCAAAGUGCUGGGAUUACAGGGUAUGAGCCACAACACCCAGCCUCAUUUUAACUUUAUUAUGAAAUAAUUUUAAAUAUAUUGUUCUUGCAUUUUAAUA
rnacentral:lncRNA from 10 species